rnacentral:rRNA from 1 species
UCUUUAUAAUGAUUGAUUUAAUUUUAAUUAUUUAAUAUUUAUAAAUUUAUAUUAAAAAUUAUUUUAUUGGGGUGAUAUAAAAAUUUAAAUAACUUUUUAUUUAAUUUUAUUAUUAUGAAAAGAAAUGGAAUGAUCUAUAGGUUAUAAUUAUAAGAUUAAGA